rnacentral:rRNA from 1 species
AAACGACUGCUAAUACCGCAUAAUGUCUACGGACCAAAGUGGGGGACCUUCGGGCCUCACGCCAAAAGAUUAGCCCAAGUGGGAUUAGCUAGUUGGUAAGGUAAUGGCUUACCAAGGCAACGAUCCCUAGCUGGUUUGAGAGGAUGAUCAGCCACACUGGGACUGAGACACGGCCCAGACUCCUACGGGAGGCAGCAGUGGGGAAUAUUGCACAAUGGGCGCAAGCCUGAUGCAGCCAUGCCGCGUGUGUGAAGAAGGCCUUCGGGUUGUAAAGCACUUUCAGUAAGGAGGAAAGGGUAGUCUUUAAUAGAGGNUAUCUGUGACGUUACUUACAGAAGAAGCACCGGCUAACUCCGUGCCAGCAGCCGCGGUAAUACGGAGGGUGCGAGCGUUAAUCGGAAUUACUGGGCGUAAAGCGUACGCAGGCGGUUUGUUAAGCGAGAUGUGAAAGCCCCGGGCUCAACCUGGGAACUGCAUUUCGAACUGGCAAACUAGAGUGUGAUAGAGGGUGGUAGAAUUUCAGGUGUAGCGGUGAAAUGCGUAGAGAUCUGAAGGAAUACCGAUGGNGAAGGCAGCCACCUGGGU